GUCAGUGUGGUAUAGUGGUUAGAGUAUUGGACUAUGACUCUGGAGACCAGAGUCCAAAUCCCAGCUCUGCCA